CAUGUGAGUCAUAAAAAAGGACGUUUUGUGUAUUUCCUGAUGCCUUUUUGUUGUUAUAAUUUAUAUGUUGAUUGUUUAUGAACACUUUCUUGGCUUAUGUUUGUAUUUUCAUCUAUUCAGAAACAAUAUUUAGGACUUCAUAGUAUCUAAUGUUAAAUAUAGAAUAGACGUGUAUAUAACUUUCAUUGGUUUACAUGAAAGCUGAGUUUAUUAAAGGAGCCAUCUCAAGCUACACGUGUCUAACAAUCCUUUGGGGAAUUUUUCAUUGAGAUGAUUGAAAUCGCUGCAGUGAGAAUGGAAAUUACAUGGGCUUCUUUCCUUUUAAAAGCUGCAUGCAAGAACUGUGUGGUGAGUCAAAUGUAGACUAAUGGUUAUGUAAAUGUCACUAAUUUUAGAUACAGUCAAGAUCUGAAAAUGUGUUUCCUUUUAAGAUAUUAUUUUCUUCACUAUCAUGACUCAGUAUCACUUGCUAAUCUCAUUUUAUUAGCCCCAUUAUAUUCUACCAUUAAAAUACACAUGCCUUCUUCAAAUAAGUGCUCACAGAUUCAACUUUAUACAUCAUAUAGAUGUUUUAAAAGGAGGGAAUAAAGCUUAUCUGCACUGGGGAUUUGUUUUGACUUCAGGCUUCACAGGCCUGCUACUGGUGCAGCUGCACAGGUACAAACAUGACGUAGAUGAAUAUGAAUCCAAGUUGUUAUAAUUCAUAAAUCUGCAUUAUGUGACCGUAUAGAAUUUCAGCCUGGUGUAUGUGCUGGUAAAAAAAUCACACUUUUCUUGUCUGCCUCUGCUAUGGAUUUGAACUGGUGAAAUUACCGAUGGCUAAAAUUUCCAAUUUAGUUCACUCCUGAGUGGUUCUCAAUAGUAAAGCUGUGCAGUAUUAGAUAGCCUACAGCUUUUCAUAAAGUAAACACUUCUGUGUGUACAUUUACCUACUAUGGGUCUCUUAAGAUAUGUGGCCAAAAUGAGGUUGACUACUCAAAAAAAAUAUGCUAUCGGGCUCAAAGUUGGAUAGCUUUCUCACUGAGGCUUCUUUAAGUGGCAGUAUAUUUGUUAGUCUGUAACUGCUUAAUACUAAAGACCUGCACAUACAUUUCAGCCAUUUGGAAACUUAGAAAUGCUUGGAAAGACCAGACUCUGUGGGUUAUAAAAGAAAGAGACAUUAUUCUUCCACUAUUUCCCUCCCUUUAAUGGUCACUGAUUUUUGUUAGCACACUGCAGACCAUGGUGCUUGCAGAGCGCCAUCCAUCCUGUUACUCUUGUAGACCUAAUAUUUUAAUGUAUCUAGGCUUUUUUACCAGUACUUCUAUGAGUAGAUGUGAAUCUAAAGAGCUGAUCAGAAAGAUUUGAGAACAUGCAACAAGUAAGUCUAUUUGCGUGGCUUUGUCAAAGUCCAGUGGCCAAACCAUUUAUUCCUGACUACUUCAUUGUGCCAGUGCAGGCCUUCAUGUGAACAGCGAAACAGACUGCUUCCUUCUGGUUCACAAGGCAGGGGAUGGCAGGGAGUGGGAAGAAGCAGAAGGGGAAAGGUUGGACUACCUUGUUUGGUGGCCCUAGCAGCUUGUAACAGUUUAUUGACAAGAUGAAAAUACAAUUUGAGCAUUUGCAGAACCAGAGCUCAACUGAGGAACCAAAGUUCCUGUCUGUGUACGUCAAGUACUUCAAGUGCUUAUGAAGGCUUACUCAAAUUACUCAGUUCCUAAAUCUUUGAAAAGAAUGUCAUAUUUCUUGCAUGGUUUACAGUUGCCUUAAAUAAUAUUAGCAAUUGUAUUUUCCAGGGUUUUACCUGCAUGGGCAGUGCCAUAGCCCAUGGCUGAAUGGAACUCCCUCUGCAUUGCAGCUCUGGGGUCCUAAGGAUGGUGCCUGAUGCAAGAAAGGAAGGCUCGCUGUUUUCAGUUCAGGUGCUUAUUUUCUGCUAGGCUUAGGAACUGUAUGGGGGAAGAAAGAUGCUUAAUUCAUAUAAAAGGAGAAGAAAAGAUAGGCCUGCUUGAAAAUAAACUGAGACUAGUAGCUGUAUAGGAGCGAAGACAACUAGUGAGAGGAGUGUGUCUAAAAAUCUAAUGUUGAAAGGUUGGAGCUGAGAACUGAUGGGGAAGGACAGAUCUGAUGAACUGGAAAAUUGGAAGGGCGGGGGGAAACUUCUGUCCAGGUUGAGCAAAGAUUUGGGGGUUUUGUUUGUUUCUUGAAAUUGGAAGAAGCAGCAGCCUGAGAGAAGGGAUCUGGCCUGAGGCAAAGAGGAGUCAGUCUUGGGGGAAAGGGGCUUGCACACCUUGGAUCACUCCUAACGUUCAUUAGAGCACUCUGCACUUCAGAUCCAGAAGGGAAUGCAGACUGUUAAGUAGUAGCUUUUGCUGUCAUCUGUGAAAUCACUGUCAGUUUCAUCCCCCUCAUUGUAUUCCACACAGAAGAGGGCAACCUUAUUAGUGCUCUCAGCUACUUCAUUAAUUUGGUCCUGAAAAGGAACCCCAAAAUAACAGAAUAUUUGAGGUUGGAAGGGACCUCUGGAGAUCAUCUAAUCCGAGCAGGGUCAGGCAGAGCAGGGUUUUUUAGGGCUGUGUCCAGUCAGGUUUUGAGUAUCUUCAAGGAUGGACACUCUGCAACCUGUCCUGUUCAGGUAGAAUUUUGUGCUUGUUGCCUCCUGUCCUGUCACUGGACACAGCUGAGAAGAGCCUGGCUAUGUUUUUUACUCUCCCUUAUCCCCAUCAGCAGGCAUUUAUAAACUUCAAGAUCACACACACACCAGCCUCUUCUUCUCCAGGCUGGACUCCCAGCUCUCUCAGCCUUUCUUCAUGUGAAAGAUGCUUCAGUUCUCUCAUCGUCUUAGUUAAAAUAUUUACUUCCACAAAUGGGAAUUGGAACUCAAAGGGGGAAAUGCUUUUUGGGGGGGGGAACCAAAACACAACCUAAUAACUAAACUGUAAAGAGAAUAUGAAGAUCACAAAAUGAAACACUAAGAAGAUAGAUAGCUCCUGCUUUAAGAUUCGGCAAUCUUCAUUUGCCCCCUUGUGUUAGUGUACUAUGAAGCAGUCUUUGUGAUCAUACAGAAUAUUUAAUCUAAUGAUAGGAUUGACCUGGUGUGGUGCAGAGCCAGGGAAGAUGUUUGUGGGCUGUGCAAGCAAGAAGUCUGAUAGGUGCUGCAGAAAUUCGUAGAAAAUUCUGUAGGCAAUGGAACAGAAGACUGCGAGUAGAAGCAGCCAUGUCUUCAUGGUUGUGUCAAAGGAGAAUUCCUAAGAAUUGGACAUGAUGUUUUCUUUUUCUGCCCUUAUUCUUAUAUGAUGCUAAACAAGUUACCAGGCCAUUGUUUUCAUAGUACUGGUGUUCCUCACUUCAGGGGGUGACUUAAGACCCUCACAGCUGACAGAAACACUGGCUGUUCACAUUUGCAGCUGAGCUUCUUGGGAGUUGCCAUUUGAAUUAAAAUACCGUGUAACAUGUCUGUUGACAGUCUUCUGUCUUCUUAGGGUACCUCAAACUGUUGCAUACUAUAGUUUCUACGCCUCCAUAUCACAUUUAACAUAGGGGUAAUAGACACUUACCUUGAAGGGCUGUUGGGUUUUGUUUGUUUAAAAACCACUUUUAUUUAGUAGCUGUACUACAGUAAUGCAUUUCCUUAUGGAAUUUUCUGUGGCAUUUAUUAACUCUGAUCUCAGAGAAAGAGAUGAGUAUUGUGCAUCUUUUAAAGACCAGAUCUGCAAUCAAUUUUCCUUGCUGCCAGCUCAAGCUGAGAAACCAAGUUUCCAUGUUGUUGAUUCAUGGUCUAUUCGUACAGUCCUGUGAGCUCCAAAAUACUCUGAUUUGUCUCCUAUCUUGUCAUUGAUUCAUUUUGCAUAUUUAGCUAUUACUAUUAAACACUUGUUUGUCCUAUUUUUAGAAUGUGGUUUCAUGAGCAACACAUUAAAUAUUCUGCAAAAUCUUUUAUACACUAAAGGUAGUGUUCAUGUUUGAACUUCAACAUAUUUUACAACAGAUUUACCUGUAAAGAACUAUGUUGCAGAAAGAAUGAACUAGUUAAAUUGUAACACUUAAAUUCUUAUGUACAGUGGUAAACAGCAGAUCUUUUAAAAUGUAAAGUGACUUACACGUAUGCGUUUAGGACUUCUACAGGCCAUCGUUCAUCAAGUUUCAAAAGCAGUUUUCUUGGUGCUGCAUAUGGCACACUUACUGAGUGAGAGUGGUUCUGUACUUGAUAUUCAGAUAUAGACAUGUGAAAAUGUUUCCACUUUUCCCUUAAUAGUGGUAUCUCGUUAAGUAUUGGGGGAAGUAUCUCCUAAUCAGGUAGCAAUACUAGCAGUAAUGAUUGGAAUUUGAAAUGUUCAGACUCCCCUUAUGUUCUUCAUGACAAUCUCUUGUCAUAGAAGACACAAGAAAUGAUUGAUAGAAAUAUAUCUGAAGUGGUGAGCUACUAUUUUACCACAGUUUAACUUGAAGCAGAAGUAGCAAUUCUUCUUAAAACAGACAAACAAAAAGCUUAAAAUGUAUUUGAAGGAAAACUUAUGUCUGAGAUAUAUGUGAACCUCCUUUCUAAGGUGGCAGUUGUGAGUGUGUGUCGGAAGAAAAUGUUUAACUAUAAGCAGAAAUAAGAAAAAUAAUGGAGAAAAUGCCAUGCCACAAAUGACAUUGUUCAUCUUUCUGUGAGGGGGCUAGUAUCACUGGGGUAUUUCUUUUUCACUCUAAAUUAAGCAGUUUAUUUCUGUUGGAAGUUAUGUAAUGGCUCUCACGUGCAACAACUCAAUAUUUUUUUCCACAUUUGAUUCACUUGUAAUAGCUCUGUGUUAAUAAAUCAAAUGAAAUUCACCUAAUAUUGCUUCCGUCUCUUAAUGUAAAAUUUGAACCCUAUGUUCAAAAGUUCUGAAAUUAACAAAUGAAUUAUAGCAGUUUGAAUCUUCAAUCUUAAGUAUGCAGUGCUGAGUAGCUAGAGGCUGACUUACUUAGCUUCUGUUGAGAGAUGGGAAUAAUGUAUCUGUAAUGUUUUCUUCUGCUGUUUAUAGCCAUAGGAGACAGCCAUGGAUAGAAAGUUUCACAUUUCCCUAUGGUUUUUGCAGGGCAAGCGCGUGGCUUUAUUACCUAUAAAGGAACCUUCUGUCAGCAGCUUUUACGCUUUAAAGUGGUUUUAAAAGUAAAACAUUUUGGAAUCUCUCAUAAAAUACUCCAAAAAAACUUAAGUAUUUUAAAAUUUGAGCUGUAUAAGGCAUAAAUUGUAGAAUAUAAAGUCUCCAAUGUAUAUACAUUUUUAAUAUUUUAUUGAAAUAAAGGCAAAGGAAAAGCUUCAAGGAUUAUAUUAUUGGACCAGCUAGAAUAGUCAACAAUAAUAUAUGACUAUGGUUCUGCAGUCCUGUGAUUCUCAAGCCAGACAAGUUUGGGACUGACAGAGUCUUCCUGUUUCCUUCAGUAUUAGCCUGGCUCUGAUAUUUCCAUGGUGGUUUCACUGAAUGACUUUGGGUUUGGUUUUGGUAAGCUCGGCCAGCUGAAUGUGCUUGCUGUGUGAGCAACAGUGCUGGCACCAAGGAAAAGUUCCCUUUGCUCUCAAGAAUGGCAGUCCAGUAUUAAAGUUAAUUUCCAUUUCUUAAAACCAAUGUAAGGAAUAUUCAGGGCCAUAUUCUUCCUUUCUUGAUACUCCUACAGACAGAUUUUGCCUAUCUGCUCUUUAAGUCAGUAUCAAAGGGGCUAACAACUUCUUGGUCUACCUCCUUCCUUCUACCGAAGAUUGCUAUCCAUAUAUGAAACUAACACAAAAAUGCUCAUACAGAUACAGCUGCUUAGCAUAUGGAAACAGCUGUGACACACCUUUCCUGUCAUCAAGAGAAUGUGAAAGUCUCCCUCUUUUCCAGCACUGUGGUGGAAAUGGGUGACCCAAGGAACGUUUCCAGGAAGAACUCUGUCUCAGAGGCACAGGAUCUUCUGCUCUGAGAUAAACAAUACAGAGGUGAUCUCUUUCUGCAUCAGCCUCCUCUUGGUACUACAUAGACAAAACCAAAAAGCCUCCUGGAUUCUGCUAUCUUUAAGAAUACUUGGAAUUCUUCCCCACGUGUUACGGUACAUAGGCACCACGUGCGGCUGUUGGUACCUGUACAUCUCUUGUACGGGAGAACGUUGUUCAGCAGCACCUGAGCGGGGAAUAACUGUGGGGUUUUGUGCAAGAGCGGUGUUCAUCCUGCUGUCCCCUCGGUCGUCAGACUACCGGUGGCUACGAAUAGAGCUUCUCGUUAGCCAAUGUUCUACCAGGUAGUCUUUUAUUUAUACUUAUAUACUAUAUAUACACUAUAAUUUAUACUUAUAUGAACACUUAAAUAGUUGUUGAGAUUGGGUUUAGCUUUAGAAAUUGUAGCAUUUCUGUGAUUUUAUUUUUUUGGUUUGGUUUGGUUUGGUUGGAGGAACUGCCUUAGCCUAGGAGGAAUUCCAGAUGGACGCAUACCCCAUGAACGAGCACAGCCUCCCUAGCAUUCACUUACUGCGUAACCUAGUGGUGCCGUUAAGGACUGUCCGCAUGAGAUACAUUUCACUUGGCUUGACGAGCAUCACAGGAAUCUUCUAAGAAGGCUGAGCAAGCAAAACAUCUUGCCUCAAGAUGUCAUGAGUGCACCUGUGAUGCAGGCACCUGGCCUCUGGCUCUGGUUUGCCGGAGCAGAAACCCUGAGAAAGAGCAGAACUCUUCUGCUGUUCCCACUUCUUGCCCUAGGCUGUCAGCAAGUCUCCGAACAUGGCUAGACCUCGAUUAGAGGGUGACAAGGAACAGAACAUUUGCAAAAUGGAUCCUGAUUUUGUCCUGCGUAAAUCCUUCUGAAGUUAAGCGUAGCUUAAACCUGGGAACACCAGGCUGCUCGAUGAUGCAGAGUUGGAAUUACCUCGGGUAUUUCAUGGUACGUGGUCUGCAGUUCUUAGAUCCCUCGGCAGCCGUGAUGCUAGAGCAGAAAUUACCAGUAACAAUGAUACCAAAAUUAAUUUUGACAAGUUCGAAUCCUCUUUGGAUCUUUCAGCUGCAAGCAGACAAAGCAAUUGUAUUGGGUCUGGCUGGGCUGAGUUAAUUGUCCCCGCAGCAGCCCCCCCA